rnacentral:rRNA from 1 species
UACGGAGGUGGCAAGCGUUGUUCGGAAUUACUGGGCGUAAAGCGCGCGUAGGUGGCUUCAUAAGUCCGUUGUGAAAGUCAAAGGCUACAACCUUUGAAAGCCGAUGGAUACUGUGAAGCUAGAGUACGGAAGAGGCGAGUGGAAUUCCUGGUGUAGCGGUGGAAUGCGCAGAUAUCAGGAGGAACACCAAUAGCGAAGGCAGCUCGCUGGGACGUUACUGACACUGAGGCGCGAAAGCGUGGGGAGCGAACAGG